rnacentral:rRNA from 1 species
AUUGAACGCUGGCGGCGUGCUUAACACAUGCAAGUCGAACGAGUGGCGAACGGGUGAGUAAUACGUGGGAACCUGCCCUCCUUUUUGGGAUAAGCCUUGGAAACGGGGUCUAAUACCGCAUACCAUCGGAUGUGCCCAGAUGGGAUUAGCUAGUAGGUGGGGUAACGGCUCACCUAGGCGACGAUCCCUAGCCGGCCUGAGAGGGUGACCGGCCACAUUGGGACUGAGAUACGGCCCAGACUCCUACGGGAGGCAGCAGUGGGGGAUAUUGCACAAUGGGGGAGAGCCUGAUGCAGCGACGCCGCGUGGGGGAUGAAGGCUUUCGGGUUGUAAACCUCUUUCGCUAUCGAACGGGUAGGUGGAGAAGAAGCGCCGGCUAACUACGUGCCAGCAGCCGCGGUAAUAC